UUAAAACAUUACAUUUUCAUUGUAAAAUUAAAUAACUUUUAUAA
rnacentral:tRNA from 1 species